rnacentral:tRNA from 3 species
GGGCCCAUGGCCAAGCGGUUAAGGCGACCGGCUCAUAACCGGUUGAACCCAGGUUCGAAUCCUGGUGGGCCCACCA